rnacentral:rRNA from 1 species
UACGUAGGGUGCAAGCGUUUAAUCGGAAUUACUGGGCGUAAAGCGUGCGCAGGCGGUUGUGCAAGACAGAUGUGAAAUCCCCGGGCUCAACCUGGGAAUUGCAUUUGUGACUGCACGGCUAGAGUGUGUCAGAGGGGGGUAGAAUUCCACGUGUGAGCAGUGAAAUGCGUAGAGAUGUGGAGGAAUACCGAUGGCGAAGGCAGCCCCCUGGGAUAACACUGACGCUCAUGCACGAAAGCGUGGGGAGCAAACAGG